GCAGAGGUGAUGAACUCUGCAAGCAGCAGAAAAGAUGGAAUACUACUUUGUAGUCUUUCUGUGAGGGAACCUUGUUUAUGGCAGUGUCUGCUGAAAACAGCUCCAUGGAUUGAGAAUCCAAUUUGGCCUUGCAACAUCUCAGGAGUCCAAGCUGUUUCUUUUCUUUUUUUUUAAUGGUAGGAGGACUUUGUCUGUUACACAGAAUAACACAGUAUCAGGGGAGGACACACACUUGUUGGAGCUCCUGGCAAAUGCAGACCUGUCAUCUGCUCUGUGUAUGGCCACUUCUGUGCUCACUGAGGCGAAUGUGUAACCGCUGGUUAGUCUUAUCUGCAUGCUGUAAUCCACAAGGACAGGGACGGGAGAAUGAGGAGGAGGCUGGGAAUAUGGAACAUAGUGUGUUGGGAUGGGCAUCCUCUGACACUAUGUUUGUUGAUCACCUAGCAGUGAUUUUUACAUUUUUUUUUUUUUUGCCAAAUUCCUGUUAGCUGCAGAGUAUUUUGUCAGAAAGUGCAGUAUAGUGGUUUAGUGUGCUUCUGUGCUCUUUCUCUGAAUGUUCUAGUGUCCAAUAAAUCAUAUGAGUGGUUGGUUGGUGUUAAAAUGUAUGGAUGCUGUGAAACAACCCUCAUUAAAUGCUCAUAAACCGCAGCUCCACAUUGUUCUAGACUUGACAUCUUUAUAACAUUUUAAAGUUUGUGUGUUAUGAUGUAUUUUAUUAGGGAUUGCUUUAUCUACAUAGUUUUUUUUUUUUUUUUUUUUUAAGUCUACAGCACUGCAGAACUUUUGCACAAGCCCUUGGCUACAAAUUAAUGUUGGACAGCCGAGCAGAGUUUAAAACCCCAAAACAGAACUUACAUCAAUCACCUUCAACAUUAAAACCAUCUGCCUGUUGUUGUGUAGAGCCACCUUGUUUCUGAUCCACUGGGGCAAGGACACAAGAUCUAUGGUAGGUGUUCUGGUUUCUAGCACAGGAGUGUUGGCAGCAGAUACUCAGGAUCCUGUGGCUUCAAGGAUAGGACCUCCUUCGAUCACGCUUGGUCCUACAGAUGCUUGAGCAGAUUGGGAUCAUUGGAGUUUGACAGCCAGGUCACCACCUUGGGCUCUUUGCUAUGGUCUUUGAGCAUUUUUUUAUUUUUUUUUUUUUUGCAGCACAUUCUCCUGUUGAGGGAGACACUUGUGUCCAGGAGUGCUGUUGCCAUAGGGGUUAGCUUGGGCUGGUUUGGGUGGGUGGUACUUGUCAAAGUAACAUCCACAUGAAUGCCAGGACCUGUAGUUUCCCAGCAGAACAUUGCAAUGUAAUAAGAGGAUCAAUGUCAUUCACUUCAUCUGUCAGUCGUUUCAGUGUUGUGACUCAUCGAUUCCAGGAUUUUUAAAGAGUAUGUGUAUACAAAAUAAAAGCAAACCAACAUGACAUGCAGGGAUCUAUCAAAUGAUUGACUGGACACUUGGAUUAUUUCCAACUAAAC
ensembl:lncRNA